rnacentral:rRNA from 1 species
CCCUUAGAUGUUCUGGGCCGCACGCGCGCUACACUGAUGCAUUCAACGAGCCUAUCCUUGAACGACAGGUCCGGGUAAUCUUUGAAUCUGCAUCGUGACGGGGAUAGAUUAUUGCAAUUAUUAAUCUUCAACGAGGAAUGCCUAGUAGGCGCAAGUCAUCAGCUUGCGUCGAUUACGUCCCUGCCCUUUGUACACACCGCCCGUCGCUCCUACCGAUUGGGUGUGCUGGUGAAAUGUUCGGAUCGGCCGUUUGUCGCGGUUUCCGCGGCUCGUGGCUGAGAAGUUCAUUAAACCCUCCCACCUAGAGGAAGGAGAAGUCGUAACA